GGCCGCCUAGCGCAAUGGUAGCGCGUCAGUUUUCGGCUUUAAAUCGCUCACUGAAGGUUGCAGGUUCGAGUCCUGCGGCGGUCG